GACGAACGCUGGCGGCGUGCUUAACACAUGCAAGUCGAACGGUAAGGCCCUUCGGGGUACACGAGUGGCGAACGGGUGAGUAACACGUGGGUGAUCUGCCCUGCACUUCGGGAUAAGCCUGGGAAACUGGGUCUAAUACCGGAUAGGACUCCGGACUGCAUGGUCUGGGGUGGAAAGCUUUUGCGGUGUGGGAUGGGACCGCGGCCUAUCAGCUUGUUGGUGGGGUGAUGGCCUACCAAGGCGACGACGGGAAGCCGGCCUGGGAGGGGAACCAGCCACAGUGGGACUGAGGUACGGCCCAGACUCCUACGGGAGGCAGCAGUGGGGAAUAUUGCACAAUGGGCGCAAGCCUGAUGCAGCGACGCCGCGUGAGGGAUGACGGCCUUCGGGUAGUAAACCUCUUUCAGCAUCGACGAAGCGAAAGUGACGGUAGGUGCAGAAGAAGGACCGGCCAACUACGUGCCAGCAGCCGCCGUAA
rnacentral:rRNA from 1 species